rnacentral:misc_RNA from 1 species
ACAAAUCCAUGGUAUUCUUGAACAUCCCUAAUGGGGGUUUGAGAAGAACAUAAACUCGCUCGGUGUGAAAGCAUCGGGUGCUGUAUAUUAAUGUAUGUUGUGUAGACAAAGUGUGUGAUACAAAAAAUAAAUGA